GGAAAACAAUCAAAUAUUUAGAUUUUUUUUAUGUGGACUGUCUGACUUCGCCUUCCCUUGCCGUGUCUGGUAACACACUUACACUUCUGGAGCCACCAGACUAUGAUCUGCCGGUGAGUACUCUUUAUUAAAAUCAUAGACUUGGCACAUCCUGUCAAAACUAUCAAUACAAGUUCUAUUGAAUAUAGCAGAGGGAAGGCACAUCUGCAGCAGUGGCGUGCACUUCUGCCGAUGAUGAGACGGUGUUGCUGGACUCCAGAAGACUUGAGGAUCCAGACACUGUGCAGCCUGAUAAGCAGCCUAGUAUCAUAAAUUCACAAACUGUCAGACGUCUCUACACAAUGCAUCUUAAGAGUCCGAUAGAGCUGGCAGAGGGCAAGAUCGAAGUGAACAAGAGAAAGCUGCAGGACAUGGACCUUGAGAUGGAAAUUAAACGCAAUACACUGAGGAAACUGGACUUGGAAAUCCAGAAACUAGAGAGAGAAG
rnacentral:lncRNA from 1 species